AUUGCCCCUCGUUGAAGCCCAUCUCUCUUUGAAGAUCAAAGCAGUAGUCUGCCUCUGUGUGUACCGACCCACACAGAUAACACAUAACCUACAAGUGAACUACAAUAAAGUGUACUGUACCACUCUGUACAUCUGUCACGGUGUCAGCUUCAUAUCGUUCCUGUCUGUAGAGGCUAAUGCCAUUCUGCCAUAUUCUGCUCCCAGAUUUGUUUGUGCUGUAUAGACAACUCCUAUGGUGAGAGAUAUAUGAUGGACGUGGGUGCGGUGGCACAGGAUCAGUCAGGUUGGGUCUGUUGGAAGCAGGUUAUUUUUCUGUGGCACAGGACCAGUCAGGUUGGGUCUGUUGGAAGCAGGUUAUUUUUCUGUGGCACAGGACCAGUCAGGUUGGGUCUGUUGGAAGCAGGUUCUUUUUCUGUGGCACAGGACCAGUCAGGUUGGGUCUGUUGGAAGCAGGUUAUUUUUCUGUGGCACAGGACCAGUCAGGUUGGGUCUGUUGGAAGCAGGAUAUUUUUCUGUGGCACAGGACCAGUCAGGUUGGGUCUGUUGGAAGCAGGUUAUUUUUCUGUGGCACAGGACCAGUCAGGUUGGGUCUGUUGGAAGCAGGUUAUUUUUCUGUGGCACAGGACCAGUCAGGUUGGGUCUGUUGGAAGCAGGAUAUUUUUCUGCGCCCUGCUGGAACACACAGAAACUUGGCAACUCUACAUGUCUUACUGUUGGCCCGCGUCCAGCUCUCUGUCUGCACUUCAGACAUGAAACAGAGAGAGACAGACAUAACGAGAGAGAGACCGAAACAGACAUAACGAGAGAGAGAGAGAGAGAAACGGACAUAAUGAGAGAGAGAAACAGAGAGAGAGAGAGAGAGACAGACAUAACGAGAGAGAGAGAGAGAGAGCGAGAAACAGACAUAAUGAGAGAGAGAGAGAGAAACAGACAUAAUGAGAGAGAGAAACAGAGAGAGAGAGAAACAGACAUAACGAGAGAGAGAGAAACAGAGAGAGAGAGAAACAGACAUAACGAGAGAGAGAGAAACAGAGAGAGAGAGAGAGAGAGAAACAGAGCUGCAGGUGACAUG
rnacentral:lncRNA from 1 species